GACGAACGUUGGCGGCGUGGAUUAGGCAUGCAAGUCGGGGGAAUCCCGCAAGGGGGAACCGGCGUAAGGGGCAGUAAGGCAUGGGUAACCUACCUUUGGGUUCGGGAUAGCCAUCAGAGAUGGUGGGUAAUACCGGAUGACGUCGUGAGACCAAAGAUUUAUCGCCCUCAGAGGGGCCCAUGUGAUAUUAGCUAGUUGGUAAGGUAACGGCUUACCAAGGCGAAGAUGUCUAGCGGGUGUGAGAGCACGACCCGCGCCACUCGCACUGAGACACUGGCGAGACACCUACGGGUGGCUGCAGUCGAGGAUCUUCGGCAAUGGGCGCAAGCCUGACCGAGCGACGCCGCGUGCGCGAUGAAGGCCUUCGGGUUGUAAAGCGCUUUAGUGGGGGAGAAAAGCCGCAAGGUGUGAUCUAUCCCAAAAAUAAGCACGGGCUAAGUUCGUGCCAGCAGCCGCGGUAAUAC
rnacentral:rRNA from 1 species